ACUGAAGGAAUUUUGCAAAAUCUACCAUAUCUGCUAGAAGACUACUUUGCUGUAUUCUGUCUGCAGGAACUUUGCUUAACAUUCCUCUUAAAGUUCUCCAUGUUUCUAGUGACCCAAAGCCCGUCUCUCUAAUAAGAAGGGUUUUGACUGAGAACUUCAUGCACUCUGUUGAAAUGAAGCACAUCCACUAGAAAACUUCACUUUAGGGGCUGAUGAGCAGGAACUGAAUGUCAAGCUAUGGAUCUCCAAAUAAGGCCAAGGCAAUGAAGUAUCUUUGGGUCAUCUGCAAGCUGGUCCAAAGGGAAAUAGCAAAGGAGGAAAUAUUCUUCAGUAAACAAGCCCUGCAACCCACAAGUGAAGAAGAAGUAAGCAAGAUGGUAUUCUUCGGAAAUAGCCAAGAAGAUGAGCUCUUGCUGUCUGCUGAAGUGUGAGAAGCCAUGACCAAAGUGACACCCAGUGACCUGUGUAGGCUUCAGUUUCCUUAUGUGUU